CGCAGACUGAGCGGCUGAGGAGUCGAUAACUGAUCUUUGAGGUCCGAUGACCACGUAAAGACUAACAAAACUCAUUGACCCUCGAGGUCACGAAGGUGGUUCAUCAGAAACAACCUACGGACCAAUCAGAUCAAUGGAAAACAUCAUCAUUCCUUAAAAUCCCUCAGAGGGUGUGAAGGAGAAAGUCAGGUUCUUAAAGUGAGGCCCCUGGGUUGUCAUCAUUGUAUUAUUAGUCUAUGGCUGAUCGACAGGAACGGGCGCUGCUGCUCUCACCUGUGCUCGUAGCAGGAACACCUGACCUGAGCUACAGCGGAGAUCAGGGAAACAAAGCUCAGCAGGGCAGGGUUACCAACAUGUGGCCCAGGAUCCAGUCUGGUGCUCUGUGACGGCCAAAAAGAGUUUUAUUUUAAUCCUGCUGUGAGGACGCGCUGCAGGAAAAACUGAACCUACCAGAACGUAUUUAGAAAGAUUUAAAGGAUAUUCCGUAACGCUGAGCACAUAAACCGGCACAUGAAGCAUGCUGAGCCAGCCCAUCACCGCUUACCUGCAGAUUCUUAACCCGUUUCCACACACACACACAGGCCGACGAGCUCCACAAUACUCUAGCCCUUCAUGUCGAUGUUUAGCGGUGCAUGCAGAGCUCACGCCAGCCUUCAGCAGCACAUCUGAGCACUGCUCGGACCUGAAUCCUUAGUUUGUACUUUAAUGUUUUAAAAGUCCCAACAGUCGCAGCUCACCUGUACUUAGGUGAAAUCGGGUUUUGUGAAUGCAGUCUGGUGCAAAGGAAGAGCGUUUGUGUUUUGAGCCAAAGCAGAUAAAAUAAAACACUCAUAAGGUCACGUAACACCACACAAUGCUCCACCCACUGCAUCAGGAUGCGACUUGGUUGAGCCCCAAUGGAGAGCAGUAAGAGGCUUUUAUUUUGUUACACUCUAGCAGAAAGCAGUGGCGGCGUGAAGAAGCAGCAGACGGUCAGUACAAUAUAGACUUUAUUAGUUCACUAAAGUUGAAUAUGAAAGAAAAAGCAGAUCGGCUUCAAAUGAUUCACAAUUCAGAAAUAAUCGAGAUUCAGGUUCAUGUCAACACAGGAAGUACUUUCUCCCUACAGCUGCCGCGCCUCUACAAAAUAAAAGUCUCCGAGGCCAGAGCCACUUCCCUUUCAGUUAGCAUUAGUUACCAACUGAAAGCAAAGCUCUCCGGCCAUAGAGGCGGCACUGAGCGCGCUCUGCAGCAUCUAAGCUUCAUGUCAGACUUUUUUUUUUUUUCUUUUCUUUUUUUUUUUUUUUUUUUUUAAGCGUCCCAACAGGAAGUCACCCGGCAGCGAGGAGCGACCGCCACACUGCUGCUGCUACCGAACAAGCCAUGAAGUGAGUUCCAAAAAACAAAAAUCAUGGUUCUUUGUAGCGUCGAGUAAACAAACCGACAGUGGGAGGCAGCCAGAGCUCAGCGUCCAAUCAGCAGAGUCCAAAACGUUUGAGUCCAGGAGUCCGAGAAGAAGAAGAGCGAAAGCACAGAAGAGCUCGGGGAAUGUUUCAUAUCACUUUAACUUUAUUUUCAUCAUAGCAAUGGAAAAAUAGAACCUCAUACAAACGUCUUCAAUCAUCUGAAAUCUUAACAAGCAAAAAGGUGAGUGACCCAUUCCCAAAGCAGGCGUGGCGGCGAGGAAACCCGAGGCAGCUCGCAGCACUCGCUCACGCCCGGGCUAAACUAUUCCCAUUUGGCACUCGCUCCUCUCAGCAUCGUUUCUGCUUUUAUUUUGAAGGAAUUUAGUGCUGCCGUUGUUUGGAGGAGACGGAGCAGGCGGAGGCAUCCGUCCCUCACAGCUCCGCCGCCAUGUUUAGUGCUCAGAAGAAGAAAA